GACGAACGCUGGCGGCGUGCCUAACACAUGCAAGUCGAGCGGGGUUGAGGCGAGAGGUAACUCGAACUUCUACCUAGCGGCGGACGGGUGAGUAACGCGUGGGCAACCUGCCUCAAGGUUUGGGAUAACAGCCCGAAAGGGCUGCUAAUACCGGAUAUGCCUAUGGCCUCGCAUGGGGCUAUGAGCAAAGGGGAAACCCGCCUUGAGAUGGGCCCGCGUCCCAUCAGCUAGUUGGUGAGGUAACAGCUCACCAAGGCGACGACGGGUAGCCGGCCUGAGAGGGUGACCGGCCACACUGGGACUGAGACACGGCCCAGACUCCUACGGGGGCAGCAGUGGGGGAUCUUGCACAAUGGGCGAAAGCCUGAUGCAGCGACGCCGCGUGAGCGAAGAAGGCCUUCGGGUUGUAAAGCUCUUUUGCCGGGGACGAUAAUGACGGUACCCGGAGAAUAAGUCCCGGCUAACUUCGUG
rnacentral:rRNA from 1 species